UUGCUGAGCUGGCGUGGUUAACUGAACCGCGGUUAUCAAUUUUUAAUUUAAAAAAAAUAUAUCACACGAAGGAGUGAAAUUAGGUUUGAGUUUCAAAUAUUUCAUUUUUUCCCCCAAAGCUUUUUCCUCUCCUCCUCUCCCACGCUGCUCCUCCCCCCACUCUCACCUUAGGCCUCCGCCCAUCACCAUCGCCGUCGCCUCCGAACGCCACCCAUCCAAAACCAGUCGCAUCACCAGCUCGAAAUCCGGCCGACCUCCUCUCGCCAAAACGACCGGCAACGCCCGCCAUCCAAAAACCGGCAAGUCACCAGCUCAAAAAUCCGGCCGAACGCCAACACCGGCAUCAAGGAGUAGGGGGCUUUGGUAAUGACGGGGCUGCUUUUGGCUCCUUAAAUAUGGAUCAGCAGAUGACUGGCAGAUUCUCAGCACCUGCUACUCCAAAUCCUUUCUCAUCUGUUGGUGGUAACCCAUUUGGAUAAAAUAUGAUGAAAAGGAAAGCCUUUUUGACCCCAUUUAGGUCAAGCAUCAUCUUGUUGCUCCCUGCCAAAGUUGCUGGGUGUAAAGUUUUGGUGUCUAUGUUGUGGUAGUUUUGAGUUAUCCAGGCCGAGGAGAGAUUUGUUCUCUUCACCCCCGGGGCAAAAGUCAAAUGUCACAUGGCCAUGUAAGAUUUGUUUGAUGCUGUAAAAGAAUGAAUGAGAUAGGGGGAGCAUGGGGUGAUACAUGUGUUUGUUUGCUGCCCCUAGAAGCUGCAUUAUUUCUCUCUGUUGUAUUGUAUGAUUUUGCCAUUUCUUCAUCAUUGUGGUGAGCUCUUCGAGUCUGGAAAUUUAGGAAACAAAAAAUAAAUUAUGUUAUGGUGGAGUGAAGUUGUAUUCUAGUACUACUGAAUUUAGAGAUGAUUUUUCUUCCA